UACAGGGGGUGCAAACGUUGCUCGGAUUCACUGGGCGUAAAGGGUGCGUAGGCGGUCGGGUAAGUCUGAUGUGAAAUCUCACAGCUUAACUGUGAAACUGCAUUGGAUACUAUUCGGCUUGAGAGUUGGAGGGGGGACUGGAAUUCUUGGUGUAGCAGUGGAAAUGCGUAGAUAUCAAGAGGAACACCAGUGGCGAAGGCGGCUCUCUGGUACGUGACUGACGCUGAGACGCGAAAGCGUGGGGAGCAAACAGG
rnacentral:rRNA from 1 species